rnacentral:rRNA from 1 species
CAGCCGCCGCGGUAAAACGAGGGGGGCAAGCGUUGUUCGGAAUUAUUGGGCGUAAAGGGCGCGUAGGCGGUUUGGCAAGUUUGGUGUGAAAUCUUCGGGCUCAACUCGAAGUCUGCAUCGAAAACUGCCGGGCUUGAGUAUGGGAGAGGUGAGUGGAAUUUCCGGUGUAGCGGUGAAAUGCGUAGAUAUCGGAAGGAACACCUGUGGCGAAAGCGGCUCACUGGACCAUUACUGACGCUCAUGCACGAAAGCGUGGGGAGCAAACAGGAUUAGAUACCCCUGUAGUCCCUGUCUCUUAUAC